CUGCGAUGCCUACCGGGCGUGCGAGCGUGGCCCGGCACACUGGGACUGAGACACUGCCCAGACUCCUACGGGAGGCUGCAGUCGAGAAUCUUCGGCAAUGGGCGCAAGCCUGACCGAGCGACGCCGCGUGGAGGAUGAAGGCCUUCGGGUUGUAAACUCCUGUCGAGGGGGAGGAAGGCGCAAGCUUGACCGAUCCCUGGAGGAAGCACGGGCUAAGUUCGUGCCAGCAGCCGCGGUAAGACGAACCGUGCGAACGUUAUUCGGAAUCACUGGGCUUAAAGCGCGUGUAGGCGGGCCGCCGCGUCGGCUGCUGAAAUCCCCCGGCUCAACCGGGGAACGGGCACCGAUACGGGCGGCCUCGAGGGGGGUAGGGGGACCUGGAACUUCCGGUGGAGCGGUGAAAUGCGUUGAGAUCGGAAGGAACGCCCGUGGCGAAAGCGAGGUCCUGGACCCUUUCUGACGCUGAGACGCGAAAGCCAGGGGAGCGAACGGGAUUAGAUACCCCGGUAGUCCUGGCCGUAAACGAUGAACACUGGGUAGGGGGCUCGCCGAUGGGCUCCCUGCCGUAGGGAAACCGUGAAGUGUUCCGCCUGGGGAGUAUGG
rnacentral:rRNA from 1 species